AAUCAGGCGCUCUCUAAUAACUGCUUAAAUACUCUCAUCAAGCUUGUCCUUGCUGUUUGCUUUAGGACACGGUGUUUUUUUUCUCCCCUCCCUAUUUAUUCUGCAUGAGCGAUAGGCAGAGCUAGAGGUCACACAAAGUAAAUGCAGGCAUGGUGAUCUCCUGAAUGCAGGUCCCUAUGAGCUCCUGGCAUGUUUUCAAGUCCAAGCAGAGCAAAUGCAAGAUGACAAGAAGAAUAAGAGCUUGCUUAGCAGAGAGAGGAGCACUGAGCCUGAUCUGGGGGUGGCUGCCCCUGCAGUGCAGUGAUGUAUCGCAAAAUCGGGUCCCUCUUUUGGAUGGCCUUCAAGCUCUGUCUUGAACGGUGCAUGGAUUUCCAAGAGGAACACGGCCAACCGGAGAGCCUGGAGCCGGCCGCUGGUGGAACCAGCGGAUCUCACGCGCACGGGCUGCAGGACGGUGAGGCUCAAAGGACGGGCGUGGGAGCAGGUUUGACCACACGGUUCCUUUGGUCGAACGGUUCACUUGGUUCACCUGGUUGGAUGCCAGUCUCUCCUCGGUGUUCCUAACGGGUGUGGGUGCUGCUGCUGUUUGCUCCUGGCCGCGGCGCAGGACGCGCGCGCUGCAUCUCCGCCGGAGCGCUGAACUUGUCGGCGCUGUUUACUUACGCCUUCGCACUGUUUGUGUAGUCAGAAGUCUCAAUCUCAUAUUUAUCUCCUCUUAAAGCGGCUACAGUUUAUACUUUAAACACAUUAAUCAUUUCCAAGCCUUUAAAGGGCUUUUAAGUGGAGACACUGGUUAUGUUUGCCUUUUAUUUAAAAGUCUCCCUUCCGAAUUGGGAGGCGAGUGCUUCAAAGGACAUUGAAGGAGCGUGCUCUCAGAUGAACUGCAACUAGUAAGCGUUCCCACGUGUGAAAAAUAGAGCCAAAAAAGCCUUGUGUUUCAGAGGGCACCUCCGUGCCUGGCUGGGUGUGCAUGUUUUUUGGACGCUUCUUGGCCAAUGGUUCCUUUUGAAGGAUAUGGACUCCCCUCGGUGCACAUCUCCAUCGUAGGCUGUGGUUUGCUUCCUGCAGUCUGUGGUUGGAGCUCUGUGCUCACUCAGGUCUCAUGAAUCAAUCCUGGAGUCUUUCAGCUCCAGCUUAGCAGUGGUAGAGCACAACCCGUGGCAGGAUUCUAAGACCCACACCCCCUGCACAGCACAGUAUGUGCUGCUCCCAGCUGCACCAGCUCUGCUCCUGGCUCUCGGUUUGGGGCUCCAAACCCAUCCUGGUGUUCUCAGGAGGAGGAGCUGGCUCCUGCCUGGGUCACCAAAGCAGCCCAGUGGGGAUACUGAACUCAGGAAUGCUCCUGGUAAAUAAUGGCACACUCAUUUUUUGGACGGGGAGGAAGUCCUACCAGAAUUAAGAACACUCACACAGCAUCUGCUUCACGUAGGGUUGGUAACUGCUGUGAGCACUGCUGCUUGGGACUGGAGGUCAGGCACGCACAGCCUUUCCUUAGUGAGGGCUUGGGACCUCAGAUGUGUGUGCUGGAAAGCGUGUGGUGCCCAUGAUGGCUCACAGCCGUCUGCUGGGGGUGUAAAUAAAGCAGUGAUUGGACUGGUGAAGGAUUUUUGGCAAAGGUGUUGCUGCUGGCUUUUGGUGGAUGGAGGCUUUUGCUCCCGUGGUAUCUCCACACCUGGCUGCUGGGAUGUGCUUUGUUUGGAGAUUGGUCCUCCAGAAGCCUUAUUUUUUUCUUUUCCCAUAAAACCAUUGGAAACAAGUAAGCUGGAGGUUAAAUAUCAGACCUGCAGCUCCAAGUUCUCCUCCAGGCUGUGCAAAGAGGUGGUGGGAGUCUUGCUUACAUUGCAUUAAUGGCAGAGAAAAUCCUUUGGGUUGGAGCAGCUUCUGCUAGGGUAAGGAGAAAUGUCUGUUGGGGAGAAAAUUUGGCUUUUCUUCUCUUUCUUUUUUCUUUUCUUUUCUUUUUUUUGGGGGGAGGGCGGGAAUUUGCCCUUUAAGAUUCCCAUUGGCACUGCGUGCUCAGCACCAGGCACUGAGCGGAGCCCAUUGCGUUCAUCUUCGCUCCCCUUGGCCUCCAUGCUCCUCUGCCUCUGUAAUUGUAACAAAUCCUUUUUCCAUAAGAUGUCAGUGUGGCACAGGAAUUUGGAUGCUUGUUUGUUACUUGUGAGUAAUCCAUCACGGGAAGUGAGGGAAAGCCAUCUUCUGGGCCGUCCCCAAGUGUCAGCUCGUUUACGGCUUGCGGCAUUAAUUUUUCCAUUGGCGGAGAGGCAGAGGAAUGGCCACACUGAUCCCAUACCAUGGAAGGACGGCUGCUCGCCUUCAGCGAGGUCAGGAAAUGUUGAGGAACCAGAAAAUGAGUGUGAUGUGCUCCCAGCUGCCCGGUUCCUGCUCUCCCUGUUCGGUUCUUCCACCCGACCGAUUCACGCGCCCCCAGAACUGAACCUUGAACGCCGUUUCCACCCUUCUGUGCAUUUGAAACAACAAUCUGGAAAACACAUUGGUGUUUUAAUAGCGUUAUUGGGUAACCCUCUUUUACCGUAGGUAUAGCCAAAGCAAGGAGAAAACCCCUCAGGGCUGCAGGACCUAAGGACACAUCAAAUGCUCCUGCUGACCUCAUUGGGAGCUGGACCGAUGCCUGGUGGCAGACAAAGGCUGUGUGAGUGGGGUGUGCUCACCCCAGCCCCGCUCUUCCCAUGGUGUUGGGGCCCAGGGUACGUAUUUCCCCCCUGGCAAUGGGCAGACUUGGAUGGGUUGGACGUUGUGCAGCUCUCUCCCUUCUCUGGUUUCAGCUCGGUUGUUAAACCCAGUAAUAUGCGCAAUAAUCUGCCUGUCUGGGAUUAAUAUAACGUUAUAUGUUUCUUGAAAGCCUUUCUGAUCCCGCAGUUAAUUUAAUCUUUUAUUAACAUUAACGAGCUCAUGUGGUGUCCAGCAAGCCUGGGGAGAAUGCUUUCCAAUACCAACAGAUGACAAAGAGAUGAAAAUAUAAUAGCAGAUGAAUUCCUCCUUCACCGCAAAGGCAGCGAGGAGGGCAGAGCAGAGCCUCCUGCUCAGCAGAGCACGUACUGCUCGCUAACGUGAGCUGCCAGGAAGCAGUGCUCGUUGUUGAGGCUUUGAAAUGGCAAAGGGAGAGAUUACUGAGAGGCGUAUCUCUGGCCGAGGAGCAGUGCGCACUUAGCAGCUAUCAGCGCCCAAGUGCCAAAAGGAAAACGUUAACCUCCCUGGUGCCAAAGAGGCUCAGUGGAUCCAUUCUUUGGCCUCAGUGCAAUGCUAUAAAAUAGAAAUAAUGGCAGUCUGGAAAACGGCCAUUUCGCUGCUAGGAAUUGCUGCUUUGUGCACGUGCCAGGUUCCCACCUCGGGGCGCAGGAGUCGAAGCGCAGGGCAGCAGCGUGCCCAGCCCCAAGCAGUGCCAGGAGCUUCCAUCCUCCCUGCAUCCCCCCAUUGACCCAAGCAGGUGACACCCAUCCUGCCCCGGGCUGUUCCUUUGGGCCAUGCUUCGGCAGCGGUGCUGAGGGCUCUGCCCAGGCUGGUGCUGGAGGAUCAGAGGUGGUGGAGGUUGCGUGGCCGCUGCUCGUGCCGGGCUGCCUUGGCGCAUCACCCGAGAGCCGCAGCCAGACCUGGAGGGAUCCAGAAGUUUCAUUAAUUUCCAAUUGAGCUGGAGCCGGUGUGGGUCGCUCCUCUCGCUAGAACAAAGUUGUUCUGCACACCCAACAGCACCGGCAUUGGAUCCAGAUGGAAGAAGCUCUGCUCCAGCAGGCAGAGGGAACCCAUUAGGAGUGUGCUCCAUUCCAAGGAAUUCCUCUCCAAUUUCCUUCCCGAUUAUCCUGCUUAUCCACGCAUGAACCCUCCCUGCUCUGAUGCUGCUUUAUCUCUUGAACGGAUGGGUUUUCUUUUUCCUUUGUGCUCUGUGCUGAUGUUGUGGGGCCAUGUCGUGGCAGGAGGGGCUGCUGGGUGCAAGGAAAGGGGGUGUCCCUUGGGGCUGCUUUGUCUUUAACGCAUAAAGCAGAGACCUGCCAAAAUACAGUGCCAAGAUCACACGAGGCGCUUGCUCUUAGCAGGAGGCUUUCAUAGAAGCAUUAAAGGUUGGAAAAGACCUCUGAGAUCCCAACCCAUCCCACUGUGCCCAAUGGUUGUGUCCCCAAGUGCCACAUCCCCAUGGCUCUGGAAUUCCCGCAGGGACUGGGACACCACUGUUCCCUGUGCAACUUGUGCUGGAGCAGCAUUGCUCUUUCAGAGGAGAAAUCUAUUGGGCACGGGGAUUGCCUUUUGUGCGCCACCAGCCCUGCUUCUGCACACUGCCCAGGAACGAGCACCGUAAGCAAUGGACGUGGGGUGGGUGCACUGCUUUGCACACCAACGUGGGCUGUAAGGGCAGGAAAGAAGCAUAAACAUGAGCUUAUAAAGAGGAGGGCGAACAGGGUUUGACUGGCUCAGUGAGGAGAAAUUAGCGAUCGAGUUGGAGUUUUCUGAGCCGCAAGCUGCAGUUUACUUUAAACUUUAGGAAAGUGUGGUCUCUGCUGAGGUCUGCACUGUGGUGAACACGGUGCUGCUUUCCAAGCCUCAAUGGUUUUGCUGGGCUAAUAAAAGCGGUCAGAGGAGGAGGGAAAGAUGUGGUGGAAUCUGGGCAUUGGGGAGGCAGGAUCUGAGCUGGAACUUCCCAUCGGGGGCUGUUCAGCUCUACAUAAAGCAAAGUGAAAGGCAGCUCAUGGGCCAACGCACGGGCAGGGUGUGGAGGUGCCAACGUUGCUGUAAGCCAUGCAGACUGGGGCUGGCAGAUCCAGGUCGCUCAGUUCCCAGAUGGUUUCCCACCAUUAUUAUUUAUUUUUUUUUUAAGAUUUUUUGGCUCUGGGUCAAAUUUUAAUUUGGUUUUUGCUUUGAGCAAAGGUGCAGCGCUGUGUGCGCGGGGAGGUGCAAGCGGAGGGCGAGCCGUGAAGCGGAGGCAGAGGAGGUGGAAAAAUCACAGCCUGGGAAAAAAUGGGCUUUGCAUAUAUUUGGGAAGGUUGCUAAUUAGUGCAGAGAGUCACCACACCAGGGAAUGCCGCAUGAAAGGUAAAGCUUGGCUGUGCUCAGGAUCGAGAUGGCGAGGGAAUACUAAUGAGAGCUGCUGAGCUUCACCUGAACGCAAACCCAUGCAGAAAUUCAGGAGUUAGAGCUGCAAAACAUCACCGAGCAGGUGAGGAAGGCUGUGGCUGCACCAGGGUUUGCUGGGGACCCCAGCAGUCUGCUCCUGGCUCUGGGAUUGGCAGAGCCUGCUUUGGGAUGGAUGUUUGGAUGGGAAUUGUGCUUUGUGGUGGGCAAGGUGGUCCCCUAUGGGAACCUCGCUUGUAGGCUGUGCAAAAAGCUACGUGCAUGUUAAGCUUCUGAGCUAUGGUGUCACGUUUAAUUUUGGCUUUAAAGUAAGCUCUAGCCCAGCAUUUCUCGCGUGUCCACCAUUUGGAUUGGCUGUUGGGUUCUGUGCACGUGAGCACUUGGGGUUUACUUGAUGCCUUUCCUGCUCCCAAAGAGCAGAGCUGAGCUGUGCUUGCAGCUUGCUUUGCAGUUAGAGUGAAUGAGAGAUUUGGUGCCUACAGCACUGGGGUUUUGGGAAAUGUUUUGUGCAUCCUUGCAGGAGGCUCCUCCUCCCCAAACCCAUCUUCAGCAUAAAACUGCUCAAAAGUGCCUUUCCAAUCAGCAGCUCGCUCAGCAAGCUGUGUCUUCGUGCACUCUAACACGUGCCCUGUUACGUCUUUGUAUUCAGUGGGUGCUUGGCAUCUCCUUGGGGUUGGGCUGACUGCAGAGACGCUCCUCCUCCUCGAACAUCAGCUGGAAGUUUUUAUGGUGCUGUUGAGAAAUAUACCUGGGACAAAUGGUUGGUUUAUGUCUCAGGGAGGUAAGAGCAAAGAGGCCUCCAGACACCGCAAUGGAACCAUCAGCCAUUGCAGUGAAGGUGUAAUUUGUCUCUCCUUCUCCUUAACGUGGGGCUGGGGGAUCCUAUCCAGGUAAAUACAGCACUCAGCUUCUGCUUGGCACGCUGGGUGGGGGCAAAUCCACUUCCUUGGCAGAUUAUAAUGAUAUACAUUAGCCACUCGAUUUAGUGAAAAAUAUUGUUUUCUCCUAAUUAAGCAAAUUGUUGCAAGCUAGGUCGCUGACUCUUGGGAAGCUGCACUUUCUGCCUUCUAGGCUUGCUGACAAGAGAGUAGAUUUAUCUCCAAUUCAGAUCGCUGGAGAUGGCGUUUGGUGUUUUAUUACCACGUGCAACUCUGUGGAUGUUACUGGGAGAUUAAUGAAGAGGAGAGGGCGGGGGUGAGGGGAGUGCAGCAACAGUCUGUGCAUGACAAAUAAGAAUUACAUUUCAUUUCAUAUGCAGAUGAUGCAAUCAGCUGCGCAAGGCUGGAGAUAACGCUUUUGUCGAGGUUUGUUUUUUGACCUUGAGAGGCCACGUUUUCCUCCCCUCACCUCUUCCCUGCAAAUCAGAGUUCAUAUCUUAAUUACGCUCUGUGAUUUGAGUUUCACACGCGCAGAUUAGCGGAUGUUAACACGCGGGAUGGACGUGGUAACCACCUGCAGGUUGGCGCCUCUGCCCUGCACACAUCCCCAUAUACCCAGUUGGUAUCCCCAUUUACCCAGCUUGAUUCUGGGCACGCCCAUGCCCGUGGUGUCCCAGUGCCACCCUACCGCCAUCCAGGAGGGUAUGAUGGCCCCUUGGACCCUCAAUGGUCUUAGAGGUCUUUUCCAACCUUAAUGAGUGUGAAUCUAUGAUGAAUGUUGAGACAGGUGUUGGGUGAACAGGGAGUAGAACUGUCCCUUAAUCACCUGUAUCUAAACAUAAUGAUAUCUCUAUACCUAUCCCUAAGGAUGCGCACGCACAGAUCUAUCUGUAGGUAUGCAUUUGUGUGAUUGGAUGUGCCUGUGAGUGUCCAAAAGUAAAAACGUAGCUACCAAAGGCUGUGAUGUUCCCUCUGAGUGGUUCUCAGCCAGAAUUCCCCCUUUUUAUUAAAAUGUGAUUCAAAGCCUUCACCCUCGGUAGUAUAUUUUUCUGUCUUUAAGAUCUCAGCGCUUCUAAAUGUCACCCCCCCCCCGGCUUUUAUUUUGUUCCAUCAGCUCUCCGAGGCCAAAGAUGCGGAGGUUACUGGGGGUGGGGGUGGCUCUGCACCGUGAGCACCACGUCUGCCAGCCCAGGGCAGCGCCCAUGCACAGUGAAUAACCAUAAUGGAAAGAGACGCUGUCGGCUUAAAUACAUCAGGGCUGUUUCCUCGCAGAGUGGCAAUUUGCUCUGUCAUUUGGAGUUAUGCAAAGUAAGGGUAAGACAGCAAUAUCCUGGUUGCUAAUAGCUUACAAGUGACUUGUUGGAGGAGCGCCGCUCAGGGAUGCAGGAGGCAGCUGCUGGCAGCCCAGGCUCUGACAGCUCUUUGGGGUUUGUGCCUCCCCCACUUGGGCAUAUUUCCCUGCUCCUUCUAUUCCUCAGCCCUGACAACCAACGCCUUUCAUUCACUUUUCCAGCCCUUUGCACCCUGAGCUCCUCAUUUUUCUCACGCCCAAAGUGAAGUUGGCGUUCCCAGGGGUGCUCUAAUAGCAGAGCUUGCUGAAGAUGCUUUGUGUUAUUAUCUCUGCCAACUGGAACCCCUCCUCCUGCUCCCUAAAAGCUGCUUCUAUGAUUUGAGAACAUAAGGGGAGGAUUUCCAGUGCAGUGAGAGCUCAAGCUGACCAGCCCCUGUGUUGCCUGCCUGGGCAUCGGCUAAUUAAUGUGCAGCUGCCUCAGCUAAUUAGCAGGCAGCAGCAUCCCUUGCUGAGCACAGCUCCUUAGGAAGCAGCUUGUGAAGCACCGGGAGUUUGUUGCGUGGGCUCAAGACGGGAUGCUCUGGGGUCCUCCUCUGCUUUUCUGGCCUCUCCCCCAUGGAACACGAAGGCUCUCAGCCUUUCCAAGAGUUGUGCCAGGCAGUAGGGAAUUGUGCUAUUAGGACUGAACAGUGGCUAUCUCACACUCUGGGAAUGCCCAGGCUGUUUGUAGAAUGCUCAUCCUCGGGGUAUCUAAGAGACGUGUGGAUGUGGCACUGAGGGACGUGGUUGGUGCUGGGGCUCGAUAGGAUGGGUUGGGCUUGAUCCUGAAAGUGGUGCUGUGAUUCCCUCUGGCUCACGGCUGUGGGAGGUGUCUCCUUCAGGAGCUGUUAGCACUGCUGACAUGCCAGCAAAACCCUCUCUGCCUCUGUGAGGUCACUGAGGUGGGAAAACACCUCUCCAAACCCCAACCCUUCCACCAUGCCCAUUAACCACCACCUCAGUGCCACAUCCCCAUGUUCUGUGCCUGUGGUGCUGCCGUGUAUCCAGGGGCACUCGGGGAAAAGCUGGGGGAAGGCGUUGGCUCCUCUUGCUCGUUUCAAAGUCAGAACAACCCAAUUUAUGGGAUGGUGAUGUCUAGGAGCUUGUACCUCUGCCAGCAUAGGGCCAUCAAGGCCACAGAGACAGCUGUCAGCUUGACAACAGCCCCCAGAGCAGGCUCAGAUGCUUUCCUGUGACUCUCAUUGGGUGUGUGCCCACUGGUGGUGUCCAUCUGUCCUGCUGGGCUCAGCCCCGAUGCCCGGAGCCGCUUGGCACGGCGAUCCUGCACCAUGCCUUGGGUCCUUUGAAGCUGCUUGCCAUGAAAAGCGCGGUGAGAACACCCCAACUUCAGUCUAAUCCAUCAGGUAUUUAAUUGAUUCAUCAUUUUCUGCCUUCCCUGUAUAGGUAAGAGUGUUUUCCUAACCCCUCCAAUUCACGCAGCCUUGUUUUUUCCACCGUGGGGCUUUCUUUUCCCCCUCCUCUGCACACAAGCAGACAAGAUAGCUUAAGAGCUCUUAUCUGCAAAGGAAAAAAAAUAGUCUUAAUCCCCAUUUAAUAACAUAAUAUCAGCAGGUAACAUGUUCAAUAUGGCAAAGGAACUCCAGCACCAGGUCAAUAGGGUAGCUAUAAUUUUUAGCAAUAAACAAAGCCUGCUUUUAAUUACUUCUGCGAAAUUGCUUGAUCCGUGCAUGAUUAAAUAUUCAUUCUGUGUAACUAGACAGUUUCUUUGUAUAUAGAUCCAUAUUAAAUUUAGCUGGCAUCCUGCCCACACAACACAUCUCAUAAAUUCCUUUUAAUGUGCAGCAGCUUUGAAGACGUCCCUCCUCCCUCCUCCCCCCGUGUAAAUGGCUGAUGGCUCUGCCUUACCUGGGCGGCCGCCGCUCGGGAGACACAUGGAAUCUUUUAGGAAGGGAAAUGAUGGAAUUUAGGGGAGACAUGGGAAAAAUAAACCUCCUGAUUGCUCCAUGAUGGAUCUGCGAGGGGAAAAAGUGACUCGCAGACCUUGUUUUCUCGCAGGCUUGCCAGCUAACUACUUUGGCAGUGCGUGCGAGGGGAAAAAAAUCCCUCCUUUUAAAGUCAAGCCAGGGCUGAUGUAAAUAUUUAUGUAAUAUUUUAUUACAAUCAGAAUUCACUUCUUGAUUGAAAAAAUUUCCUAGGAACCCUAUGAAAAAUCCAUACUAGUACGGAAUUUAAGUGUCUUGAUUUAUUUUUAUCAGUGGUUUGCCGGGAACGCCGAUGGCCGUGGGGAAGGAGAUUGGGAUUGUGGUGUGCCAGCAGGACCAGGCCCUGCCCGGGUGCCAGUCCUGCAGAGUGGGUCUCUCUUUGUCUCUCUGUCGUCGCAUGGAGAUGCGUUGGUCAGCGCAGCACACAGAGAACGGAGCAGGCGUGGGGCUGCGGGCGGCUGCUUGGGCAUCCUGACUGCGGGGCGGUGGGGACUGCUCCCCUUCCAGAUCCACCUCCAGCCCUCUCUUAUGUAUGGUGCUCCCCUCCAGAGCAUUCUCUGCUUGUGCUCUGUGAAUGCCAGAGGUGUAAAUAUUUGGAGGGAAGUGGUGGUGGGUGGGCUGCAGUGGGAGGAGAUGCGGCAGAGGGAUGCUGAGUGUGCACGGGGCUGCGUGUGUGCACGGGUGUGUGCUGCACACCCAUGGCCCUGGUGCACAGAGGGAUGUGGGUGGGGGGGGUUUUUUGUAGGGCACAAAAAAAUCCUGUAAAUUCCUCAGAGGCCUCAACGCUUAGGGCUGGAGUCACAGGGCUGCCUUUAAACGUGCUGAUGAGGAAACAUAGGGGUUGUAACGAGGAGAGGCUGUGCUAAAUGAGUGGCAAGCCAAUUAGCUUGCUUUAAAACAUCAUAUUAAUUAGCAUGAAAAUAAAGCCGAACUUUUUCAAGAUAAUUGCAUCUUUCAAAUAUCGGUAUUCUUGAUCCGUGGUCGUCUCAUAAAUAUGCAUUAUGACAUAAUCCUUUAAAUACAUGCUGUUAAUGAGGAACACGAGGAAUGCGCUGGAUGUUGGAAAUGGUGGCACGAAAUGGAGCAGCGGUGGCACUGCCCUUCCCGAGGGGUGCAACUUGCGUGUGGCUUUUUGCCGUGAGAUAUGAACAGAAAGUGGUUGGGAGGUGAAUAGAGACAGAGGGAAUGGAGCUGGCGUUCCUCUCCUCUGAGUGCUGCUCAUGCUCUGAGCUUCGCCGGAACGUCGCGCUCUAAGGCUGAGCUACCAGGAGUUGCUGGCAUGUGCAGUUUGGAGCUGAUGUUGUAAAAAUGGAACUUAGUCAUCCCCCGUGGCUUUAUUUAUGGCUCGGGGAGAAGGAGGCUGGCAAGAAAAAGGAGCUGUGCUCAGCACCGUGCAUGGCAGCGUUCAGGCUCUGGGGCAGCCCCCACCCACUGGUCCCACUGCCAGCCCUGUGGGGUUGGGGAGGUGUCUGCAUCACCUGCUCAGGCUGUGAGAUGGGGGGAAGAUUCCCCCAGCCUGUUUGUGUGGAUGGCAUUGUGCAGAAUUUGGGCACUUCCGGAGGUGCAGCCUGCGUGCUGGUAGGUGGCCAUAACCCCAUCCUGCUGCCCAUCCUCACCAUGCUGCUUCUCCUUCCUAAACAUCGCAGGGGUUGGCUGCUGGGACGGUGCUUCCCUCCCGCUCUCUUUGCCCAUCUGCAGAAUCAUAGGAUCGUAGGAAAGGUUGGCAAAGGCCUCUGAGAUCACCUCAUCCAACCAAACCAAGGCGUAAAGGACUUUCACACUGCCAACAGCCCAGGCCGUGGGUUAAUCAAUGUCUGUAUGAUAUUUUGAGAACAUAAAGCUCACGCGUUAGUAAGUUAUGGCUCUGUUAUGGCCAAAGUGCUGCAGGCUUGGGCUGACAAUGCUGCACAACGCCCGUGGAGUCGCAGCAGAACUUCUGUUAUUGCGCCCAUUAUUCCAGUAAGCAGUUGCUGCUCUAUGGAGAAACAGGAUAACAUCCCUUCCACGGGGCAGCCAUAAGCAACAGCUGCAGGCUGCGCAGUGGGGUGAAUUCAGUUCAUGCCGUUUUGCUUUCUUUGCCAUUUUCUCCUGGGGUAAAUGGGUUCCUGUGGCUCCUGCUGUUUUCCAUUCCCUCCUGGCUUUGUUAAGAAGAUGAAGCUGCAGAAUUGUUGGUGGUGAGCCACCAAGACGGAACUUGUCAGCAUGCAUCAACCUCUGCCUUUGGAACCUAGAUGGAUUUUCUUCCUUCCUCACUUAUUUUGGUGUCCCCAGAGGAUGAGUGGGUGUUCUGGAGGGAGCUGGCAGGUUGGGCAGGCACAGAGGUGAGCAGGGCUGGCAGUGCUGUUAUCCCUGCUGGGCACUGGGUUAUCCCAGCUCCUCCUGCUGCAGGGAGUGGUGGGAGAUGCAUUCCCAGCCUCCUUCCUGGAGUGCUUCGCUUUAUGGCUGGUUGCACAGACUGCUGCGAACGGAGUGCCCGACUGCGGUGCUGAGUGUUGCCUAAGCGAUGCCUGGCAUUAAAGAAUAAUGCUAAUUUCUCUUAAGAGAUGGCAGUGCUAAUGGGUUUUUUGAUUGCGCUGUAUGCUUUUGUUCUUCUGCUUGGCCAGCAGAGAACAAGUCAUUCCUAACGAGUGCAGCGUUUCGAGGCCAGCAGGGGAAGGGAUGCCCCGCCAGCUCGUUGGGUGCCUGCUAAUGGCACUGCGGUGGCACCUCAGAUGUCAAGGAUGGGUCACCCACAGCACAUUGCAGGUUGUCCCUAAAUACCCCCGUACUGCCAUCACCAGGAAGUUCACUGGUUCCAUGGGGCUGGAUGUGCCCUGCCGUAGGGCAUGGCAUAGAUGGGCGAAGCUCUGGGUGCAGAAACCCUCCCCAGACACGAGGCUUUGGCACAUGUCAGCAGCUCUUCACGGGUUUAGCGUGACUGCAAACGUGCACUGCUUGGGUUUAAUAAUUAACCGGGGCUUUAUUUAAGUCCGUCGCUGCUCUGCAGUAAUGAUUCAUCAGAUGCCUCAUAAUGUGUACGCUGUAAUUUUUAUUCGGAGGUACUUCCAAAACACAAAGCUGGUUGUUACCUGUUUGUAUUCAAACACGUCAUUAGUUACUGUGUAUCGUGGGUCAACACACGGGCAUAAAACAAUCCCUUUUCUUCUCUUGCAAUGAUUAACCCAUCUAUCAGCAGGGUCUGUUUAAUAUCUGUCACUAUAAACAGUCAUUACUUUCAAGAAUAGCCAGAUGGACAGAUAAUUUAAAACAUAACUUGGAAUCUAUUUUAAUUUUCAGAGGCCUAACUUAAGAAAAAAACCGUAGAAAUGCCCAUGCAAUCACACGCCCAAUUUGUGUGCGUAAUUACCUUGAUUACAUGUGUGCUUGUGGUAAUUGUCACCGCAGAUGGCACUGGGAUGCAUGACUGGUCACUUGUGCAUGCAGAGCUGCUCCACAGACCACAGCAGGGAGACUGCAGAUGCGAACUGGGGUCUCCGUGGUCCCGCUGGAUCCUGCAGGGAAGGUUCACGCUUUCACGCUGACUUUCCAUGCUUUUCCCCCAAAUCCAGCAGCAGAAAGAUGCAGGACUCAGUGAUCCUCUUUGCCUCCUCCCAGCCCAGCAGUGGGUCAGCACCCCGUGAGCACCUCCAGCUGGUAAAUCCCUGCUGCCUGGGGGUGGUUUGGUUGCCUUCACCACCUCUGUUAUCAGCGCUCCUGCUGCUCCAAUGGGGAACUGGGGUCGCCGAGUGGUUUCUAUGGCAAUUCUCAAAGCUGUGCCCUGGGAUCUCUGCACAGAGCUCCUGUUGUGCUGCAGGGCCCUGCUCUGCAUCAGUGCUGCCCCAGUGCUGGGAUGGAUGUGUCCCUGCAGGAACUGCAUGAGGUGGUGAUUUCUGGAGAAGAAACAGCCAUAACCUCCGGUGCUGGUGGAGCUUUGCAACGGAGCCUUCCACACCCACAGCGGAAGACACAAAGAAAAACGCCAUUUUGAGCAGAAUUUUGAAGCUUUUUGAAGUCUUUCCUUCUUUUGUACUUGGGUUUCCCUUUCGUUUAAAAGGCAGGAAAAGAGAAAAAAAAGAAAGAAUUACAAAGAAGAGCCCCAGAGGGACUCUUCGCCCAUUUUUUCCCCCACUCUUCCAUGGAGGAAAGGAGAGAAAAAGGACACAAGUGGGAAGAAAUGCAUUUCCUCACGAGGUGCCCAGGUGCAGCGUGGCCAUCCCCAUCCCAAAUUCCCUGCACUCCCCAAAAAGGGCUGCCCAAAGCAGGGCUUUUGUUCCACUCAGCAGAGGUUGGAGCGCUGUGACCGCUCUCCCCUGGCAAGCGGCUGCCUGUUUACAGACAUGUAAAUACAACUUCACAAUUGCCAUAAAUCCCAUUGUGCAAUAUUCUCUCCAACCAAUUAGAUCCUGACAUCUGCUUAAUGUUUAAUUACUUUUUGACGAAGGAAACGGAAAAAUUGACAAAUAGUUUAAUCCAUCAAACGUCGGCCUUUUGUGAGCGUGUUUAUAUAAAGCUCACAUGCCAGCAUCUCUUAAUUUUUCUUGCUGCUCUGGCAAGGAUGAGGACAAAUAUUUAUAUUCCAGGCACACAAGAUGGCUUUCAUAUUGUUUUCAUGUUUAACUGAUUUCAAAUGAACUAAGAUGGCUCUUAAUGUGGUUACAAGAAUUUGCCAUUAAUUUUCACUUAAAAUUGGAUCCAGCUUGCUACAUGUCUGCAAUAUAUUAAAGUUAAUAACGAUUUGUUUAGAAAGCGCGGUGCUUACUGCUGACUGAUUGGCACACGGUCGCUUGGUGGAAACAUCAGAUUCCUAUUAUAUUUAAAUGAUAAUUAAGCUUAGAAUAUUACUCCUAUUUUGGAGUGCUUAAUGCAGAAUACUUUGGUUAAUGGGAUGGGAACAUACAGCGCAGCACCUCAAUGGCGGGCUGCGCCCCUCCACCCACUUCUACUUGCUGCUGUGAUGCUGCUUUCAUAGAUACACAGAGUUAUAGAAGCACUGAGGUUGGGAAAGGCACGGAUUUAGGACCAUGAGUGGAUGAUGGGGGAUGUGGGUGACGUAUUUCUAGGUUAAGUCUGGCGGUGGUUCUGCUCAGCACCUUCACCCCCAGGGUACCACACUCCUGGGUGCCAAUGGAGAAGGUGUGGGUUAUGGGUGAAUGGGCUGGGGGACGGGUGGGAGAUAGUGGGGAUGGGUGAGGGGUGAAGGAGAUAGAGGAUGGGCGAUGGAGGAAGGUGAUGGCUUUAGGGGAUGGGUAGUGAGGUUGGGUGGUGGGUAGUGAGGACGAUGGCUGAUGGCUGAUGCGUGAUGGGUGCUGCAGAUGGAUGAUGGAUGAAAGUGACGGAGCUUCUCAUGCUGUAUCCAGCCAUGCCUGCAGUGGCUCCAGCCCCUCAAACUGAAUUGGGUUUUCAUCCCAAGCAGCACAAUGGGGAUCUGGAAGAUCUGCAGCUCCUGCUGCCUUCAGGCACUCCUUGAUGAACACGGUGAUGCAAAACCUUCCCACCCUUCUUCUGUGCUCAGUGGCCUCAAAGCUCAGCUUACAAAGAGCAAGGGGUUGGUGAGUAAGCCUUGCUUUCUUGCAGUAUUCUGGCUUGAGUAUAUCAAAGAGUUUUUU